GGGAAAGGGGGGUCGGGCCGGGGCUUAGCCCCGGCCCGUGGACGUAUUGGAACG
rfam:Picea glauca, whole genome shotgun sequence.